AUGGCGGUCGCCCCGGCGUCAUUGAUGAGGAGGGCUGACGGCGACCUCCCUCGAUCUCGUCUCCCGUCGUUGUCGCGGCGACGGAUCUGUCGUUGUGGGCGCCGGCAACUGUCGCAGCAGGACAAGUUAAGGGAUGACAGGCGUGUGUGCAAUCAGUUGGAACAAUGCAUAUGCAUCAAUGAGCCAUCAAUCUUCAGCAACGGAUUGGAUGCUCAUUGUGGAUAUGUAGCCAGUCCUCGUGUUGUUCUUCUUCGUGCAAAAUUCACCAACAAUGAAGUGCAGGUUACUCCUCGAGGCAGGUCAUUUCCAUCCUCGGUGCAGUUAACUGGCGUGCAAUUUUGUUAG
rnacentral:rRNA from 1 species